rnacentral:rRNA from 1 species
UGGAUGAACGCUAGCUACAGGCUUAACACAUGCAAGUCGAGGGGCAGCAUGGUCUUAGCUUGCUAAGGCCGAUGGCGACCGGCGCACGGGUGAGUAACACGUAUCCAACCUGCCGUCUACUCUUGGACAGCCUUCUGAAAGGAAGAUUAAUACAAGAUGGCAUCAUGAGUCCACAUGUUCACAUGAUUAAAGGUAUUCCGGUAGACGAUGGGGAUGCGUUCCAUUAGAUAGUAGGCGGGGUAACGGCCCACCUAGUCUUCGAUGGAUAGGGGUUCUGAGAGGAAGGUCCCCCACAUUGGAACUGAGACACGGUCCAAACUCCUACGGGAGGCAGCAGUGAGGAAUAUUGGUCAAUGGGCGAGAGCCUGAACCAGCCAAGUAGCGUGAAGGAUGACUGCCCUAUGGGUUGUAAACUUCUUUUAUAAAGGAAUAAAGUCGGGUAUGCAUACCCGUUUGCAUGUACUUUAUGAAUAAGGAUCGGCUAACUCCGUGCCAGCAGCCGCGGUAAUACGGAGGAUCCGAGCGUUAUCCGGAUUUAUUGGGUUUAAAGGGAGCGUAGAUGGAUGUUUAAGUCAGUUGUGAAAGUUUGCGGCUCAACCGUAAAAUUGCAGUUGAUACUGGAUAUCUUGAGUGCAGUUGAGGCAGGCGGAAUUCGUGGUGUAGCGGUGAAAUGCUUAGAUAUCACGAAGAACUCCGAUUGCGAAGGCAGCCUGCUAAGCUGCAACUGACAUUGAGGCUCGAAAGUGUGGGUAUCAAACAGGAUUAGAUACCCUGGUAGUCCACACGGUAAACGAUGAAUACUCGCUGUUUGCGAUAUACAGCAAGCGGCCAAGCGAAAGCGUUAAGUAUUCCACCUGGGGAGUACGCCGGCAACGGUGAAACUCAAAGGAAUUGACGGGGGCCCGCACAAGCGGAGGAACAUGUGGUUUAAUUCGAUGAUACGCGAGGAACCUUACCCGGGCUUAAAUUGCAGAUGAAUUACGGUGAAAGCCGUAAGCCGCAAGGCAUCUGUGAAGGUGCUGCAUGGUUGUCGUCAGCUCGUGCCGUGAGGUGUCGGCUUAAGUGCCAUAACGAGCGCAACCCUUGUUGUCAGUUACUAACAGGUCAUGCUGAGGACUCUGACAAGACUGCCAUCGUAAGAUGUGAGGAAGGUGGGGAUGACGUCAAAUCAGCACGGCCCUUACGUCCGGGGCUACACACGUGUUACAAUGGGGGGUACAGAGGGCCGCUACCACGCGAGUGGAUACCAAUCCCAAAAACCUCUCUCAGUUCGGACUGGAGUCUGCAACCCGACUCCACGAAGCUGGAUUCGCUAGUAAUCGCGCAUCAGCCACGGCGCGGUGAAUACGUUCCCGGGCCUUGUACACACCGCCCGUCAAGCCAUGGGAGCCGGGGGUACCUGAAGUGCGUAACCGCGAGGAGCGCCCUAGGGUAAAACUGGA